CGUGAACCUUUACUAUAGCUUGACACUGAACAUUGAGCCUUGAUGUGUAGGAUAGGUGGGAGGCUUUGAAGUGUGGACGCCAGUCUGCAUGGAGCCGACUUGAAAUACCACCCUUUAAUGUUUGAUGUUCUAACGUGGACCCGUGAUCCGGGUUGCGGACAGUGUCUGGUGGGUAGUUUGACUGGGGCGGUCUCCUCCUAAA
rnacentral:rRNA from 2 species